rnacentral:rRNA from 1 species
CGCGUGCGGGAGGAAGGUCUAUUGAUUGUAAACCGCUUUUGAUAGGGAAGAAGAUCUGACGGUACCUAUCGAAUCAGCAUCGGCUAACUCCGUGCCAGCAGCCGCGGUAAUACGGGGGAUGCAAGCGUUAUCCGGAAUUAUUGGGCGUAAAGCGUCCGUAGGUGGUUUUAAAAGUCUGUUGUCAAAUCGCGAGGCUUAACCUCGUACAGGCAGUGGAAACUAUAAGACUAGAGUGCGGUAGGGGUAGAGGGAAUUUCCAGUGUAGCGGUGAAAUGCGUAGAUAUUGGAAAGGACACCGGUGGCGAAGGCGCUCUACUGGGCCUGCACUGACACUGAGGGACGAAAGCUAGGGGAGCGAAAGGGAUUAGAUACCCCUGUAGUCCUAGCCGUAAACGAUGGA